GGUGCGUUUGCCGUGCUGUGAGUCCGGGGCGCUCAUCCCUGCAUGUGGAGGCUUCUGGGACCCUGCCUGGGAUGACUUUUUUUUUCUUAAAUUUUUACAGAAACGAGUAUCUUAUAUUUCAGAAGAUCAUUAAGUUGGAAUAUGACUUUCCAGAAAAAUUCUUCCCUAAGGCAAGAGACCUCGUGGAGAAACUUUUGGUUUUAGAUGCCACAAAGCGGUUAGGCUGUGAGGAAAUGGAAGGGUACGGACCUCUUAAAGCACACCCGUUCUUCGAGUCCGUCACGUGGGAGAACCUGCACCAGCAGACGCCUCCGAAGCUCACCGCUUACCUGCCGGCUAUGUCGGAAGACGACGAGGACUGCUAUGGCAAUGAUCCCAGAGGAACCCACAUAUGGGACAUGGCAGCUCAGGACAACACCCAGCCACCUACGUGGGACAGGGCCACGCAGGAUAGAGACAAGGAGACGAGGGCCUCAGAGACACAGGCUUCCCGGCCCCGCAUGGGUCCCGCACAGCCCCCUUCUCCAGCACCGAGGACGUGAGUGGCUGCCUCAGAGGUGGGUUAAAGGUGAGCCUGGGUGGCAGGGCCUUGGUCUGUGUCUAGCGCCUGUUUCUGAGCCAAUCCCACUAGGGGCAGACUGAGAUAAUACGAAGCCUCGACUCGAGCGGCUCCACGACAGAACACAAGCGGCUGCCCAGAGAGAGUACAUGUGAAAGACAUUCCCUGCCAAAGAGACAGGAGUGGGCAUCAUGGCUCACAGCCUCAGAGCAGGGCCAGGGCUGGGCCACAGCCCCCGUCACUCCACACCCCGCGUGAACUCGGAGGAGGCAGGCAGAUGCCGAGGCCCACAGGCCCAGAACAGAAACGGAGUCAGACGUUGCCCAGUGCAGACCGAUGCGCAGACACGGACCUGGGGGAGCAGGGCCACACCCGCACGCAGGUACCCAGAAACCCUCAGCCUUCACGGCGAGGCCUCGGGCUGUUCUGAGCCAAGCCAGCACCGCAGCACACAGGCAGGCCAGCCUGGGCCCAACGCGUGUGGGCGCCGUCCCUGCACCACGACCACUCAGAAUGGAACACGGCAGCUGGCAGCAGCAGGCACAGUCCAGGUGAUGGCACAGA
rnacentral:lncRNA from 1 species